GACGAACGCUGGCGGCGUGCUUAACACAUGCCAGUCGAACGGAAAGGCCCUGCUUUUGUGGGGUGCUCGAGUGGCGAACGGGUGAGUAACACGUGAGUAACCUGCCCUUGACUUUGGGAUAACUUCAGGAAACUGGGGCUAAUACCGGAUAGGAGCUCCUGCUGCAUGGGGGGGGUUGGAAAGCUUCGGCGGUUGGGGAUGGACUCGCGGCUUAUCAGCUUGUUGGUGGGGUAGUGGCUUACCAAGGCUUUGACGGGUAGCCGGCCUGAGAGGGUGACCGGCCACAUUGGGACUGAGAUAAGGCACAGACUCCUACGGGAGGCAGCAGUGGGGAAUAUUGCACAAUGGGCGGAAGCCUGAUGCAGCAACGCCGCGUGCGGGAUGACGGCCUUCGGGUUGUAAACCGCUUUCGCCUGUGACGAAGCGUGAGUGACGGUAAUGGGUAAAGAAGCACCGGCUAACUACGUG
rnacentral:rRNA from 1 species